UCCUUUUCCCCCACCACUACAUUCUUUCUCCCACUCUCACAACUUUUCUCCCACCAUUAUCACACUCCAUAGAAGCCUUUGAAGCCCCAAGAGAAGUAGCAAAGCAAGGGAGAGUGUGGGAAAACUAUAGAGUGAAGGUUGUGCUUCGAGGGUCCGGGCGACAGAAAGUGAAGCCGAAGAAGAAACGACUCCACGCCAGCUUUAAGAACAAUUGAGGUUGAGCAGGCGAUGGAAUGGAUCGGUGUUGAGCGGAUUUCCCUUUUGAUGUUUAUGUAAUGAAACCUUGAGUAUGCAUCUCCAUAUGCAUAACUCACACGUUUUUUUCGCUGCAAACACUCUGACUUAUUUAUCAUUUCUACUUGAACUUAUUACUACUUCAUUUUAAUUAACUUUCAGUUGGGGUCUAGUCGUUAUGGCAGACUCAUUUGUGAAUUACCCAAGUGGUUAUAUAUAUAUACCACUAGUUUGUUAUUAA